rnacentral:rRNA from 1 species
GAUGAACGCUGGCGGCGUGCCUAAUACAUGCAAGUCGAGCGAACAGACGAGGAGCUUGCUCCUUUGACGUUAGCGGCGGAUGGGUGAGUAACACGUGGAUAACCUACCUAUAAGACUGGGAUAACUUCGGGAAACCGGAGCUAAUACCGGAUAACAUGUUGAACCGCAUGGUUCAACAGUGAAAGACGGUCUUGCUGUCACUUAUAGAUGGAUCCGCGCCGCAUUAGCUAGUUGGUAAGGUAACGGCUUACCAAGGCAACGAUGCGUAGCCGACCUGAGAGGGUGAUCGGCCACACUGGAACUGAGACACGGUCCAGACUCCUACGGGAGGCAGCAGUAGGGAAUCUUCCGCAAUGGGCGAAAGCCUGACGGAGCAACGCCGCGUGAGUGAAGAAGGUCUUCGGAUCGUAAAACUCUGUUAUUAGGGAAGAACAAAUGUGUAAGUAACUAUGCACAUCUUGACGGUACCUAAUCAGAAAGCCACGGCUAACUACGUGCCAGCAGCCGCGGUAAUACGUAGGUGGCAAGCGUUAUCCGGAAUUAUUGGGCGUAAAGCGCGCGUAGGCGGUUUUUUAAGUCUGAUGUGAAAGCCCACGGCUCAACCGUGGAGGGUCAUUGGAAACUGGAAAACUUGAGUGCAGAAGAGGAAAGUGGAAUUCCAUGUGUAGCGGUGAAAUGCGCAGAGAUAUGGAGGAACACCAGUGGCGAAGGCGACUUUCUGGUCUGUAACUGACGCUGAUGUGCGAAAGCGUGGGGAUCAAACAGGAUUAGAUACCCUGGUAGUCCACGCCGUAAACGAUGAGUGCUAAGUGUUAGGGGGUUUCCGCCCCUUAGUGCUGCAGCUAACGCAUUAAGCACUCCGCCUGGGGAGUACGACCGCAAGGUUGAAACUCAAAGGAAUUGACGGGGACCCGCACAAGCGGUGGAGCAUGUGGUUUAAUUCGAAGCAACGCGAAGAACCUUACCAAAUCUUGACAUCCUCUGACCCCUCUAGAGAUAGAGUUUUCCCCUUCGGGGGACAGAGUGACAGGUGGUGCAUGGUUGUCGUCAGCUCGUGUCGUGAGAUGUUGGGUUAAGUCCCGCAACGAGCGCAACCCUUAAGCUUAGUUGCCAUCAUUAAGUUGGGCACUCUAAGUUGACUGCCGGUGACAAACCGGAGGAAGGUGGGGAUGACGUCAAAUCAUCAUGCCCCCUAUGAUUUGGGCUACACACGUGCUACAAUGGACAAUACAAAGGGUAGCGAAACCGCGAGGUCAAGCAAAUCCCAUAAAGUUGUUCUCAGUUCGGAUUGUAGUCUGCAACUCGACUACAUGAAGCUGGAAUCGCUAGUAAUCGUGGAUCAGCAUGCUACGGUGAAUACGUUCCCGGGUCU